rnacentral:tRNA from 1 species
GCCUGGGUGGCUCAGUCGGUGAGGCACCUGACUCUUGGUGUCAGCUCAGGUCUUGAUCUCAGGGUUGUGAGUUCAAGUCCCGCCUUGGGCU